UGGAAAGAAGACGCGGGAACAAAGGCAGUUCGAGUGGUAGCCGCGUUUAUUGGGCCUAAAGCGUCCGUAGCCGGUCCGAUAAGUCUCUGGUGAAAGCCCACAGCUUAACUGUGGGAAUCGCUGGAGAUACUAUCGGACUUGAGGCCGGGAGAGGCUGGAGGUACUCCCAGGGUAGGGGUGAAAUCCUAUAAUCCUGGGAGGACCACCUGUGGCGAAGGCGUCCAGCUGGAACGGACCUGACGGUGAGGGACGAAAGCCAGGGGCGCGAACCGGAUUAGAUACCCGGGUAGUCCUGGCCGUAAACGAUGCGGACUUGGUGUUGGGACGGCUUUGAGCUGUCCCAGUGCCGAAGGGAAGCUGUUAAGUCCGCCGCCUGGGAAGUACGGCCGCAAGGCUGAAACUCAAAGGAAUUGACGG
rnacentral:rRNA from 1 species